UACGAAGGUGGCAAGCGUUGUUCGGAUUUACUGGGCGUAAAGGGAGCGUAGGUGGUUAGGUAAGCCCUCCGGGAAAUCUUCAGGCUUAACCUGAAAAGGUCGGGGGGGACUGCCUGGCUAGAGGACGGGAGAGGAGCGCGGAAUUCCCGGUGUAGCGGUGAAAUGCGUAGAGAUCGGGAGGAAGGCCGGUGGCGAAGGCGGGUCUCUGGGCCGAUACUGACGCUGAGGAGCGAAAGCAUGGGUAGCGAACAGG
rnacentral:rRNA from 1 species